UACGUAGGGGCCAAGCGUUGUCCGGAUUUAUUGGGCGUAAAGAGCUCGUAGGCGGUUCGGCAAGUCAGCUGUGAAAUCUCCACGCUCAACGUGGAGGGGUCAGCUGAUACUGCUGUGACUCGAGUCCGGUAGGGGAGUGUGGAAUUCCGGUGUAGCGGUGAAAUGCGCAGAUAUCGGGAGGAACACCAGUAGCGAAGGCGGAGCACUCUGGGCCGGUACUGGACGCUGAGGAGCGAAAGCG
rnacentral:rRNA from 1 species